UUCGAGCUCUCUAAAGGGUUGUCGUAGACGACGACGUUGAUAGGCAGGGUGUGUAAGCGCUGUGAGGCGUUGAGCUAACCUGUACUAAUUGCCCGUGCGGCUUAACCAUACAACACCCAAG
rnacentral:rRNA from 1 species